AGUCACACAAGAAGGUAGGAGAGAAAAGCCAUGGCUGACAAGUUCCUGAAGGAGAAGAGAAAGCUGUUUAUCCGUUCCAUGGGUGAAGGUACAAUAAAUGGCUUACUGGAUGAAUUAUUACAGACAAGAGUGCUGAACCAGGAAGAGAUGGAGAAAGUAAAACGUGAAAAUGCUACAGCUAUGGAUAAGACUCGAGCUUUGAUUGACUCCGUUAUUCCGAAAGGGGCACAGGCAUGCCAAAUUUGCAUCACAUACAUUUGUGAAGAAGACAAUUACCUGGCAGGGACGCUGGGACUCUCAGCAGAUCAAACAUCUGGAAAUUACCUUAAUAUGCAAGACUCUCAAGGAGUACUUUCUUCCUUUCCAGCUCCUCAGGCAGUGCAGGACAACCCAGCUAUGCCCACAUCCUCAGGCUCAGAAGGGAAUGUCAAGCUUUGCUCCCUAGAAGAAGCGCAAAGGAUAUGGAAAGAAAAGUCGGCAGAGGUGCCAUGCUCAGAACACAAGGAUAGAGUGGGGUGAAAGAAA
rnacentral:sRNA from 1 species